AACAUCUCACUAUCUCUUCCCACACACCUGGCUCUCUCCUUUUUCAUACUUCUCGCUUGUCAACGAGAAACCAUGGUCCUUUUAAAUAGCGCAUAAUGUAGGUGCGAUAUUAUUUGAUUCUUAUCUAAACUUAAAAAUCAAAAUCCAUUAUAAUACAAAUUCUAAAAGAAAUAAUUAAGCAGAAUAAAACUCAAAAUAGAGUCAUAGUAGAAGUAAGGUAAGCAAUGGACUUUUAAUACUCUUCCAUAUUGUAAAAUCCAUGCCAGUGGUAUUGAACUUAUCAAUGUC
rnacentral:lncRNA from 1 species